AAAGCAAAUCAAUUGUAGUUUACUUUUAGUGUGUGUGUGUGUGUCUGUGUAGGGGGUGUGUGAUGAGGGUAGGGGGCAGGUAAGGACAGAGAGGGGUAGAGA